GCAUCUGUGCAUGCAGCAUAUCAAUAAGCGGAGGAAAAGUCAACUACCUACGCUUAGGAUGUUGAUGAGACUGUCGAUCUCAUCUAUACAUGACUCUGUGCAUAUCAAUAAGCGGAGGAAAAGAAACUAACAAGGAUUCCCCUAGUAACGGCGAGUGAAGCGGGAAGAGCUCAAAUUUGAAAUCUUAAAGGGUUUCCCUUUACGAAUUGUAGUUUAAAGAAGUGUUUUCUGUUGAGGUUUUGGUAAAAGUUCUUUGGAAUAGGACAUCAUAGAGGGUGAGAAUCCCGUAUUUGACCUUUACUUUCAACUUUGUGAUACACUUUCAAAGAGUCGGAUUGUUUGGGAAUGCAGUCCAAAAUGGGUGGUAAAUUUCAUCUAAAGCUAAAUAUUGGCGAGAGACCGAUAGCGAACAAGUACCGUGAGGGAAAGAUGAAAAGAACUUUGAAAAGAGAGUUAAACAGUACGUGAAAUUGUCAAAAGGGAAGCGUUUGACACCAGUGUUGUUUUUCUGAAAAUCAAUUAAAGAACUGUUUAUGCUAAGCUGUUUAGACUUUAUCAGCUAGCUGUUUAGUUUUGAGCUUUUCUUUAAUGCACUUUUCAGUUAACAAGUCAACAUCAAUUUCUUUUGCUGUAAAAAAGCUUGAGGAAGGUGGCUUGAGAUUCGUCUUAAGUGUUUAUAGCCUCUUGCCUAUGCAGUCGGAGAGAUUGAGGUCUGCAGCGUAGAUCCUUCGGGGCUAAAUGCAUUUGUGCUAUGUUAUAGCAUUUUAUAGACAACUUGUUGACUAUGAUUUGUCUUGUAGCUUACUCGCUUAUGUUAUUUUACCUACGCUUAGGAUGUUGAGUCAUCACACAUCUCU
rnacentral:rRNA from 1 species